rnacentral:rRNA from 1 species
UCAAGCGAAUAAGCGCACACGGUGGAUGCCUUGGCGGUCAGAGGCGAUGAAGGACGUGGCAGCCUGCGAAAAGUAUCGGGGAGCUGGCAACAAGCUUUGAUCCGGUAAUGUCCGAAUGGGGAAACCCACCCGCUUGCGGGUAUCCUGCAGUGAAUACAUAGCUGCUGGAAGCGAACCUGGUGAACUGAAAUAUCUAAGUAACCAGAGGAAAAGAAAUCAACCGAGAUUCCGUAAGUAGCGACGAGCGAACGCGGACUAGCCCUUAAGCUGAUUUGGUUCUAGGAAAAUGCUCUGGAAAGAGCAGCCAUAGAAGGUGAUAGCCCUGUAUCUGAAAGGGCCAUUUCAGUGAAGACGAGUAGGGCGGGGCACGUGAAACCCUGUCUGAACAUGGGGGGACCAUCCUCCAAGGCUAAAUACUACUGACCGACCGAUAGUGAACCAGUACCGUGAGGGAAAGGCGAAAAGAACCCCGGAGAGGGGAGUGAAAUAGAACCUGAAACCGUGUGCGUACAAGCAGUAGGAGCUCCGCAAGGAGUGACUGCGUACCUUUUGUAUAAUGGGUCAGCGACUUACUGUUCGUGGCAAGCUUAACCGUAUAGGGGAGGCGAAGGGAAACCGAGUCUGAUAAGGGCGCAUAGUCGCGGGCAGUAGACCCGAAACCGGGUGAUCUAGUCAUGCCCAGGGUGAAGGUGCGGUAACACGCACUGGAGGCCCGAACCCACUCCCGUUGCAAAGGUAGGGGAUGAGGUGUGAUUAGGAGUGAAAAGCUAAUCGAACCCGGAGAUAGCUGGUUCUCCUCGAAAGCUAUUUAGGUAGCGCCUCAUAUGUAUCCUCUCGGGGGUAGAGCACUGUUAUGGCUAGGGGGUCAUCGCGACUUACCAAACCAUUGCAAACUCCGAAUACCGAGACGGACUGUAUGGGAGACACACGGCGGGUGCUAACGUCCGUCGUGAAAAGGGAAACAACCCAGACCCACAGCUAAGGUCCCAAAUUCACUGCUAAGUGGAAAACCAUGUGGAAAGGCACAGACAGCCAGGAGGUUGGCUUAGAAGCAGCCACCCUUUAAAGAAAGCGUAAUAGCUCACUGGUCGAGUCGGUCUGCGGGGAAGAUUUAACGGGGCUAAGCAGUGAACCGAAGCUUGGGGUGCAUAACUUUGUUAUGCGCGGUAGAGGAGCGUUCCGUAAGCCGUUGAAGGUGGAUUGAGAAGUCUGCUGGAGGUAUCGGAAGUGCGAAUGCUGACAUGAGUAACGAUAAUGCGGGUGAAAAACCCGCACGCCGAAAGCCCAAGGUUUCCUUGCGCAACGUUAAUCGGCGCAGGGUGAGUCGGCCCCUAAGGCGAGGACGAAAGUCGUAGUCGAUGGGAAGCAGGUUAAUAUUCCUGCACCUCGCGUAAGUGCGAUGGAGGGACGGAGAAGGUUAGGUGUACCAGGCGUUGGUUGUCCUGGGGAAAGGCGGUAGGUUUGGAUCUUUGGCAAAUCCGGGAUCCUUUAAGACCGAGCACCGAGACGAGCCUUUAUGGCGAAGUCACUGAUACCACGCUUCCAGGAAAAGCUCCUAAGCUUCAGCUUACGCAGACCGUACCGUAAACCGACACAGGUGGGUAGGAUGAGAAUUCUCAGGCGCUUGAGAGAACUCGGGUGAAGGAACUAGGCAACAUGGCACCGUAACUUCGGGAGAAGGUGCACCCUUUUUGGUGGCUCGUGCGAGCUAUAGCUGAAGAGGGUCGCAGUAACCAGGCCGCUGCGACUGUUUAUCAAAAACACAGCACUCUGCAAACACGAAAGUGGACGUAUAGGGUGUGACGCCUGCCCGGUGCUGGAAGGUUAAUUGAUGGGGUCAGCCGCAAGGCGAAGCUCUUGAUCGAAGCCCCAGUAAACGGCGGCCGUAACUAUAACGGUCCUAAGGUAGCGAAAUUCCUUGUCGGGUAAGUUCCGACCUGCACGAAUGGCGUAACGACAGCGGCGCUGUCUCCACCCGAGACUCAGUGAAAUUGAAAUCGCUGUGAAGAUGCAGCGUUCCCGUGGCAAGACGGAAAGACCCCGUGAACCUUUACUAUAGCUUUACACUGAACGUUGAGUUCGUCUGUGUAGGAUAGGUGGGAGGCUAUGAAACUGUGGCGCUAGCUGCAGUGGAGCCAUCCUUGAAAUACCACCCUGUCGUGCUUGACGUUCUAACCUGGGCCCAUUAUCUGGGUCGGGGACCGUGUAUGGUGGGUAGUUUGACUGGGGCGGUCUCCUCCUAAAGAGUAACGGAGGAGCUCGAAGGUACGCUCAGCGCGGUCGGACAUCGCGCACUGUGUGCAAAGGCAUAAGCGUGCUUGACUGCAAGAUCGACGGAUCAAGCAGGUAGGAAACUAGGACUUAGUGAUCCGGUGGUUCUGUAUGGAAGGGCCAUCGCUCAACGGAUAAAAGGUACUCCGGGGAUAACAGGCUGAUACCGCCCAAGAGUUCAUAUCGACGGCGGUGUUUGGCACCUCGAUGUCGGCUCAUCACAUCCUGGGGCUGUAGUCGGUCCCAAGGGUAUGGCUGUUCGCCAUUUAAAGUGGUACGCGAGCUGGGUUCAGAACGUCGUGAGACAGUUCGGUCCCUAUCUGCCAUGGGCGUUGGAGAUUUGAGAGGGGCUGCUCCUAGUACGAGAGGACCGGAGUGGACGAACCUCUGGUGUUCCGGUUGUCACGCCAGUGGCAUUGCCGGGUAGCUAUGUUCGGAAGCGAUAACCGCUGAAAGCAUCUAAGCGGGAAGCGCGCCUCAAGAUGAGAUCUCCCGGGGCACAAGCCCCCUGAAGGAACCAUGUAGACUACGUGGUUGAUAGGUCAGGUGUGUAAGUACAGCAAUGUAUUGAGCUAACUGAUACUAAUGAUCCGAGAGGCUUGACCAU